CCAAUAGCGUAUAUUAAAGUUGUUGCAGUUAAAAAGCUCGUAGUUGAAUUUCGGGGUUCUACCGUUGGUCAGGCUAUUGUCUGUACUGGCGUGUAGAAUUUCUACCUUCUGGGGAACUAUCAUGUUAUUAAUUUAGCGUGGUAGGAAACCAGGACCUUUACCUUGAAAAAAUUAGAGUGUUCAAAGCAGGCUUAUGUCUGAAUACAUUAGCAUGGAAUAAUAAAAUAGGACGGUGGUCCUGUUUUGUUGGUUUCUGAAUCACCGUAAUGAUUAAUAGGGAUAGUUGGGGGCAUUAGUAUUCAAUUGUCAGAGGUGAAAUUCUUGGAUUUAUUGAAGACUAACUACUGCGAAAGCAUUUGCCAAGGAUGUUUUCAUUAAUCAAGAACGAAAGUUAGGGGAUCGAAGACGAUCAGAUACCGUCGUAGUCUUAACCAUAAACUAUGCCGACUAGGGAUCGGACGAUGUUAACUUUUCUUGACUCGUUCGGCGCCUUACG
rnacentral:rRNA from 1 species